UACGUAGGGCGCAAGCGUUGUCCGGAAUUAUUGGGCGUAAAGAGCUCGUAGGCGGCUUGUCGCGUCGGAUGUGAAAGCCCGGGGCUUAACCCCGGGUCUGCAGUGGGUACGGGCAGACUAGAGUGCGGUAGGGGAGACUGGAAUUCCUGGUGUAGCGGUGAAAUGCGCAGAUAUCAGGAGGAACACCGGUGGCGAAGGCGGGUCUCUGGGCCGUAACUGACGCUGAGGAGCGAAAGCGUGGGGAGCGAACAGG
rnacentral:rRNA from 1 species